GGCGCGGAAUCCGAAAAGCGAAAAGAGUAGGAA
ncrna:unclassified sequences DTF805b RNA